UUAUGCUCCAAGGGCAACAGCACUGGGAUUCGUUGGAACUGCUGCUAACUUGGGGGCGUCCCUGGCUCCUCUUUUUAUGAUGCUCACAAUAUACUAUGCCUCAUUGCCCUGGAUCAUCUAUGGAGUCCUCUCCAUUCUCUCUGGCCUUCUUCCCCAUCUUCUUCCUGAGACCAAGAAUCAGCCUCUGCCUGACUCCAUCCAAGAUGUGGAAAAUGAGUGUAAAAGGUCAAGACAAGCAAGACAAGAAGAUGCCAUCAUCAAAGUGACACGGUUUUAAUGGAACUCCAGGAAUUGGCCUCUGAUCAAACAGCAAAAUAAAGAAAAUGUCACUUAGA